AUAUGAACAAAAGUCCAAUGACAUUUCGGUUUGCAGAAAUUAACAGGAGUAGUCUCCUUACACAGUAACAGUUAAAAUAUUUCUUGUAAAUCUCUAAACAUUAAUGUAAUCAAAUCAAAAUAUAAAACCAAAGCUAUUUGGCACUUCCAGGGUAAUAACGUUUUAGCCAGAUAUUCAUAGAAAAGCAAGUUCUCCACCAACAUCAUAACAGGCAAAUUAGCAUUUCUAAAUAUGAACAGGUAGCAGCAAAACAUAAUUUCUGAUAUCAGGGAGAGAAUAAACAGUCUGUCUAUGGAUCAAUGAUGCAUCCAAUGUAUGGAUGAUCUAUGUUCAGGAGGAGGUCUCCCUAUGAGACUUAUGUGAAGUGGUCCAGCACUGGGAUUCACUGUGCAGGGACCUUCUAGCCUCUGUUUAGUCGAUGUUUGGAAAGGAUUUAAAAUGUGGGUUAGGGUUGUUGGCUACCUUUUUCUGGUCUGCCUUUAAAUGCUCUCGUUGGUGGAGGCAGAUAAUCACGCCCCUCCAGGCCCCCGUCUGUGGUCUAUUUGGUGAUGUAGCAGCACACACACAAAUAAUAAUAAUACAAAAAAAACGUACUUUUUAAAUCACCUUACAAUCCCUUUCAUUUAUGAAAAGUUUUACAGUUUUCUUUUAAAAGAUUGUUUUACAACAAGGGAUAAUUACAGGACUCACUAGAUUUAUUACAUUACAGUUCCUUGUCGAAUUAGUAUUGCAAUGAUUCUUUGGUAAUGAUGUUGUUUAUUAGCGUUGCUUGGCCUCAAGUAGAUCACAGACAAAGGCUGCGAGAUUACCCACCUUUUCAUUUCCAACUACAUUACUGAUUGGACCAAACACUUGAGGACGGUGAUAUAAAAGCAUCUGUUACCCAGAAACAGAUUGACGUGGAUACUGAGAGUCUCCCCUUUGAUUGAAUCAGGCCAAUGAGCUGCAGAUCAGCUUGUUGAUGAGAACAUGAAGUGGAUCGUAUGGAGUAACGUCACUACAUACUUUGUGACUCCUCCCACGGCCUCCUCUGAUUGGUGCCCCGCUGCGGAUGAUCGGGUUCGUUACCAUUAGCGGUAUAUCUGAUAACCCAGGUCUGCAGGACCAGGGUUAGCUGCCUGCCGUCCCGUGUUGGACCUCGGGCGCCACACAUUCCCGCCCUCUCAGUGGUUGAAAUAAAAGCUGUCCACCUGAUACUGUCUCCUGUGGUCACGCUUUUGGGUCCUAACCUUGAACUCCCGUGACAAAAACAGCUAAACGUGGAGCAACAGCUGGAUGUGAAUUCCUUCAUUGGUCCUUUCAUUUUCU
ensembl:lncRNA